GGGUUGUGAGGUUAAGCGACUAAGCGUACACGGUGGAUGCCCUGGCAGUCAGAGGCGAUGAAGGACGUGCUAAUCUGCGAUAAGCGCCGGUAAGGUGAUAUGAACCGUUAUAACCGGCGAUUUCCGAAUGGGGAAACCCAGUGUGACUCGUCACACUAUCAUUAACUGAAUCCAUAGGUUAAUGAGGCGAACCGGGGGAACUGAAACAUCUAAGUACCCCGAGGAAAAGAAAUCAACCGAGAUUCCCCCAGUAGCGGCGAGCGAACGGGGAGGAGCCCAGAGCCUGAAUCAGCAUGUGUGUUAGUGGAAGCGUCUGGAAAGGCGCGCGAUACAGGGUGACAGCCCCGUACACAAAAGCGCAUGUGCUGUGAGCUCGAUGAGUAGGGCGGGACACGUGGUAUCCUGUCUGAAUAUGGGGGGACCAUCCUCCAAGGCUAAAUACUCCUGACUGACCGAUAGUGAACCAGUACCGUGAGGGAAAGGCGAAAAGAACCCCGGCGAGGGGAGUGAAAAAGAACCUGAAACCGUGUACGUACAAGCAGUGGGAGCACCCUUCGGGGUGUGACUGCGUACCUUUUGUAUAAUGGGUCAGCGACUUAUAUUCUGUAGCAAGGUUAACCGAAUAGGGGAGCCGGAGGGAAACCGAGUCUUAAUUGGGCGUUAAGUUGCAGGGUAUAGACCCGAAACCCGGUGAUCUAGCCAUGGGCAGGUUGAAGGUUGGGUAACACUAACUGGAGGACCGAACCGACUAAUGUUGAAAAAUUAGCGGAUGACCUGUGGCUGGGGGUGAAAGGCCAAUCAAACCGGGAGAUAGCUGGUUCUCCCCGAAAGCUAUUUAGGUAGCGCCUCGUGAAUUCAUCUCCGGGGGUAGAGCACUGUUUCGGCUAGGGGGCCAUCCCGGCUUACCAACCCGAUGCAAACUGCGAAUACCGGAGAAUGUUAUCACGGGAGACACACGGCGGGUGCUAACGUCCGUCGUGAAGAGGGAAACAACCCAGACCGCCAGCUAAGGUCCCAAAGUCAUGGUUAAGUGGGAAACGAUGUGGGAAGGCCCAGACAGCCAGGAUGUUGGCUUAGAAGCAGCCAUCAUUUAAAGAAAGCGUAAUAGCUCACUGGUCGAGUCGGCCUGCGCGGAAGAUGUAACGGGGCUAAACCAUGCACCGAAGCUGCGGCAGCGACACUGUGUGUUGUUGGGUAGGGGAGCGUUCUGUAAGCCUGCGAAGGUGGCCUGUGAGGGUUGCUGGAGGUAUCAGAAGUGCGAAUGCUGACAUAAGUAACGAUAAAGCGGGUGAAAAGCCCGCUCGCCGGAAGACCAAGGGUUCCUGUCCAACGUUAAUCGGGGCAGGGUGAGUCGACCCCUAAGGCGAGGCCGAAAGGCGUAGUCGAUGGGAAACGGGUUAAUAUUCCCGUACUUGGUGUUACUGCGAAGGGGGGACGGAGAAGGCUAUGUUGGCCGGGCGACGGUUGUCCCGGUUUAAGCGUGUAGGUGUGUGUUCCAGGUAAAUCCGGUUCACUUUAACACUGAGGCGUGACGACGAGGCACUACGGUGCUGAAGCAACAAAUGCCCUGCUUCCAGGAAAAGCCUCUAAGCAUCAGGUAACAUCAAAUCGUACCCCAAACCGACACAGGUGGUCAGGUAGAGAAUACCAAGGCGCUUGAGAGAACUCGGGUGAAGGAACUAGGCAAAAUGGUGCCGUAACUUCGGGAGAAGGCACGCUGACACGUAGGUGAAGUGAUUUACUCAUGGAGCUGAAGUCAGUCGAAGAUACCAGCUGGCUGCAACUGUUUAUUAAAAACACAGCACUGUGCAAACACGAAAGUGGACGUAUACGGUGUGACGCCUGCCCGGUGCCGGAAGGUUAAUUGAUGGGGUCAGCGCAAGCGAAGCUCCUGAUCGAAGCCCCGGUAAACGGCGGCCGUAACUAUAACGGUCCUAAGGUAGCGAAAUUCCUUGUCGGGUAAGUUCCGACCUGCACGAAUGGCGUAAUGAUGGCCAGGCUGUCUCCACCCGAGACUCAGUGAAAUUGAACUCGCUGUGAAGAUGCAGUGUACCCGCGGCAAGACGGAAAGACCCCGUGAACCUUUACUAUAGCUUGACACUGAACAUUGAGCCUUGAUGUGUAGGAUAGGUGGGAGGCUUUGAAGUGUGGACGCCAGUCUGCAUGGAGCCGACCUUGAAAUACCACCCUUUAAUGUUUGAUGUUCUAACGUGGACCCGUAAUCCGGGUUGCGGACAGUGUCUGGUGGGUAGUUUGACUGGGGCGGUCUCCUCCUAAAGAGUAACGGAGGAGCACGAAGGUUGGCUAAUCCUGGUCGGACAUCAGGAGGUUAGUGCAAUGGCAUAAGCCAGCUUGACUGCGAGCGUGACGGCGCGAGCAGGUGCGAAAGCAGGUCAUAGUGAUCCGGUGGUUCUGAAUGGAAGGGCCAUCGCUCAACGGAUAAAAGGUACUCCGGGGAUAACAGGCUGAUACCGCCCAAGAGUUCAUAUCGACGGCGGUGUUUGGCACCUCGAUGUCGGCUCAUCACAUCCUGGGGCUGAAGUAGGUCCCAAGGGUAUGGCUGUUCGCCAUUUAAAGUGGUACGCGAGCUGGGUUUAGAACGUCGUGAGACAGUUCGGUCCCUAUCUGCCGUGGGCGCUGGAGAACUGAGGGGGGCUGCUCCUAGUACGAGAGGACCGGAGUGGACGCAUCACUGGUGUUCGGGUUGUCAUGCCAAUGGCACUGCCCGGUAGCUAAAUGCGGAAGAGAUAAGUGCUGAAAGCAUCUAAGCACGAAACUUGCCCCGAGAUGAGUUCUCCCUGAGACUUAGAGUCUCCUGAAGGAACGUUGAAGACGACGACGUUGAUAGGCCGGGUGUGUAAGCGCAGCGAUGCGUUGAGCUAACCGGUACUAAUGAACCGUGAGGCUUAACCUUACAACGCCGAAG
rnacentral:rRNA from 1 species